rnacentral:rRNA from 1 species
GUUUGAUCCUGGCUCAGGACGAACGCUGGCGGCGUGCUUAACACAUGCAAGUCGAGGGGGCUCAGCAAUGGGUCACCGGCGAACGGGUGCGUAACACGUGAGCAACCUGCCGCAGAGUGGGGGAUAGCCGGCCCAACGGCCGGGUAAUACCGCAUACGAUCUUCUGGGGACAUCCCCGGGAGAUGAAAGAUUUAUCGCUCUGCGAGGGGCUCGCGGCCUAUCAGCUAGUUGGCGAGGUAACGGCUCACCAAGGCGACGACGGGUAGCUGGUCUGAGAGGAUGGCCAGCCACAUUGGGACUGCGACACGGCCCAGACUCCUACGGGAGGCAGCAGUGGGGAAUCUUGCGCAAUGGGCGAAAGCCUGACGCAGCGACGCCGCGUGGGGGAGGAAGGUUUUCGGAUCGUAAACCCCUGUUGCCCGGGACGAAUCCCUGGUUUAGACCAGGUUGACGGUACCGGGUGAGGAAGCACCGGCUAACUCCGUGCCAGCAGCCGCGGUAAUACGGAGGGUGCGAGCGUUGUCCGGAAUCACUGGGCGUAAAGGGCGCGUAGGUGGCUUGGUAAGCGUGUGGUGAAAGCUCGGGGCUCAACCCCGAGUCGGCCAUGCGAACUGCCGAGCUUGAGCACUGUAGAGGCAGACGGAAUUCCGGGUGUAGCGGUGGAAUGCGUAGAGAUCCGGAAGAACACCAGUGGCGAAGGCGGUCUGCUGGGCAGUUGCUGACACUGAGGCGCGACAGCGUGGGGAGCAAACAGGAUUAGAUACCCUGGUAGUCCACGCCGUAAACGAUGGGUACUAGGUGCUUGGGGGAGCGACCCCCUGAGUGCCGGCGCUAACGCAUUAAGUACCCCGCCUGGGGAGUACGGCCGCAAGGCUGAAACUCAAAGGAAUUGACGG